GAUUAACGCUGGCGGCGUGCCUAACACAUGCAAGUCGAGCGGCAGCGAGUUUUACACUGAAUUCUGGAAGCUUCUAGUUGAAAGAGAAGAUUUAUUCAAGAAUUUUGUGUAAAAUGUCGGCGGGCGGCGGACGGCUGAGUAACGCGUGGGAGCGUACCCCAAAGUGAGGGAUAACGCAUCGAAAGGUGUGCUAAUACCGCAUAUGGUCUUCGGAUUAAAGCCUUCGGGCGCUUUGGGAACGGCCUGCGUAAGAUUAGAUAGUUGGUGGGGUAAUGGCCUACCAAGUCGACGAUCUUUAACUGGUUUGAGAGGAUGAUCAGUCAGACUGGAACUGAGACACGGUCCAGACUCCUACGGGAGGCAGCAGUGAGGAAUCUUCCACAAUGGGCGAAAGCCUGAUGGAGCAACGCCGCGUGCAGGAUGAAGGCCUUCGGGUUGUAAACUGCUUUUAUAAGUGAGGAUUAUGACAGUAACUUAUGAAUAAGGAUCGGCUAACUACGUG
rnacentral:rRNA from 1 species